rnacentral:rRNA from 1 species
CGAGAUGAGGUAUCCCACCACCUUGAGUGGGUAAGGCCCCCAGCUAGACGACUGGGUUGAUAGGCCGGAAAUGUAAGCACGGUAACGUGUUGAGUUGACCGGUACUAAUAGGCCGAGGGCUUAACCAC